GUUCUAAUGAAGUCCCAGUUAAACAACGUGAGCUCCGCCGAGGCUUAAGUACGGCGAGCAGCGCGCCACCCACCGCAGCCGAGGCCCCUCGCAGCGCCUCCCCGGCUCUGCCCGGCCCUGAAAGAUGUAAAAUAUAAAACACCGGAUAACAAAUCGCCACCAUUCUAAUUAAAGCUGGGACGGGAUGAGCAAUGGACUCAUUUAUCAUACAUGUCCUCGUGCGCACACGCACAAAACCGGGCCCACUUGAGCCAGACCGGCGACAACCGCCUGUUCUCUCAACCAGCCGCUAGGUGGCGGUCUGCUCCACCUGAACGGGCCGAAAACGAGAGCUCGAUGCAGAGAUGACGCAGAGGUGAAGCUCACGGCCAAGACAGUGAGGGAUUGAGUUUCUCACCUAAAAGACCAGAAUGUGUGCUUUAAUAUAAAAUAUAUAUAUUUACUUUGUUUUUAGAAUGUUAAAAUUUCAUGAUUAAUUAUAUUGUAACAAGUCAAUAUGAUAAUAAGCAUAUGCCAUCAAUGGACAUUGAUCUUUAUUAUGUAGAUAAUGCAGCUACCUAUUUAAUUAUAAACCCACCAAAUAUAAACCCAUGCUCAGUGGUGAAAAGCAUUAAACCUACAGCAGGAUUAACUUUUUGCUUCCAGGAACAAAGGUUGUCGUACGUUCUGAUUGGUCAACAUUUUACACAGAAGCGUCCUCAUACAGGAAAUGUUCAGAUUUAAUGAAGAUAAUCUAGUGCUGCAAGCUUUCCUGCUGCUCAGUUCUGUGUAUUUAAAGGUAAACAACUGCUUGGAGCCCUUCAGAUUCGUUGGUACAAUUCUUUCUUGGUUCUCUGCUGUUUGUGCUUUUUUGAAACCAAAUAAUGAACUCUGUAAUUAUAAACAAUGUUUAUAUUAAUGUAAUUGUUCCCAUCGUGAUAAAUGAUGAAAACAGUUUGAAAAAUGAGACACCAUUGCUUGUGUAGAGGUUUAAUGGUAAAGAAAACACAACUGAGGCCUUGAAUUGUUUAGGUUGAUGGUUGUGUGUCUUCGUAUACUUGAGUUAUUAAAUAUUAAAGCGAUUAGUUAUAAUGUAUAA